GACUCUGGCCGCGGCGAUUCAAUAUAUCCGGAAGCAACUGUCAUGGCUGCUGUCAGUGAGGGCCCGUAAUGGAGAUCGAGUCAAGGGUUGCCCAGGGACACUUAAGAGCCUUCGGCUUCAAGGAGGCCUCUCAAAGGACAAAGGAUGAGACUGCCUGGCGGCAGAGUGCCCCCCACAAUCGUAGGAACUGUGUCGCCGCGCUUCCCGUUAACUUGCCGCUAAGUUUUUCUAGAAAAGUCGCCCUUCUUGCCAGGGGUGUCCUAUAGACUUUGUCAUGGAGUGAAACAGAAACAAAUAAUGGCCUGUCCAGAAGACAGCCAAAUACAUCCUUCAAACAGACUUCACUGCAGGAGACAGAGUGGAUUCAUCCUGUAUUCUCCAUGUAGACUUCCAUCUUCAUGAGUACUCCAAGAAGAUGGUUCAGUUGACUAUUGCAAAGGAUGAAAGCAUGGGUCCCUGAGAAUUUCAUUACUUGCAACCUGAAUGGAAAAAUCACUUGAAAGCAUCAUGUGUGAACGCUUUGGAUACAAAAGAGAUCAAUAGAGUUGGCCUGGAACAAGAGAUGCCCUUGAAUGCAAGUUGUAACAACUGAGAGAAAUUGCCCAGACACUGCAACGGGAGUUGCCAACAAAGUAACAGAGUCAGAGAAGAGCUGAGUCUUGGGAAUGAAAAAGUGAUGAGGGGAUGACUUCCACAGUGGGUAUCCGGUCAUUUGGGCUGCUGCUCUGCCCUCAUCAAAGUGAUUUCCACUCUAAGCCUUUGCUAAUUUCACAACAGGAAAGCAUGCAAGAAAUUCGAGAACAAAACAAAUCUACACGCAGAGCCCAGCAUCUUCAAGCAAACACCCUGAGGUACAGACCCGAGGCUAGAUGAGUCCGGACUGCAGAUGAGGCAGCUGCCUCUUAAACUGCAAGGGGACUGAAAAAGUCAUUUGCCUCUAAAAAAACCAACUCUGAAUACAAAUUGAUAAUGAAUAUUCAUGAGCCCCUCCAGCUUGCUCUAGAGCCACCCUUGACUGCAACCCUGGACUCUGCUUCCUAAAAAGUUUCCCAAAGCUCUUUCUCUGCCUCCUCUCAGAAGGAAGAGGGUGGGAAAGUUCAUUCAGGGCUUUUUGCCUCCAGCUUUCAAGUACUUGCUUUUUGGUCUGGGCUUUUAUUUUUCCUUCUAUUUUUUUUUUCUUAAGGAUUCAGAUCAAAUCAAUUUUGGUCUUACCCUUUGUAUCUUCCAUAAGUAGCAGCUUUUGUUUUCCUCCUCUUUCCUCGUCUUUCCCCCCCCCAGCCUCUGCUUGCUGUGGUCCGUCUCCGUGAGAGAGGUCCUCAAGGAAACAGAGAUAUAACAGACCCUUGGGCUCGUGGGAGGGGCUAAAUUAGCCGGCCCCGUUUCGGAAGGAACCUCAAACCCUGUCUUUUUCAUUGACUAGAAAGGACAGAUUGACUGAGGAGUCCAGCAGCUCAUUUUCCUAAAGUUACUCGAAGCCUUUUCCAGGUUGUAAUUUUUUGCAUCCUUGAAGCAAUGUAUAUUCAAAUCUCUCUCUCUUUCUCCCUUCUUCCCUCUCUCCCUUACUCCCUCCCUCUUCAUCUCUCUCUCCCUCUCUUCGUUAUAGAAAUCCCUUUUUCUCCCUUGAAAAAGUCAUCUCAGCUGCAAGCAAAAAAAGCUAUUCCUUACUGCAAUUAUGAAGCUAGAUAAUAAGAAAGUUGUUACCUUGAAACCCGCUCGAAAAACUGAAAGUCAAGAACAGUUCUUCCCUCCCCAUAAAGCCUCUGGUCCCAUGACCAGCAAUCCUUUCUCAAGGCUCAUUAGAGCAAAGAGCAACAGGUGACCCAAGCGAUGAGUUUCCUGCAGGAGACGCUGCGUUAUUGGUUGGAAGGCUGGGUGGAACCACAGAGGAGCUGCUCAAUGGGAACCGCUGCCUGGCUAUGAAUUGAUGAAAGUCAUCCACCAUUUCCCAACUUUGACUUCCUACCUUUGAAGUCUAAUGAGCAUGAAUUACCACAUCCAGACCGUCAAGAUUACCCCAAUGUAGAUGAGAGCCUGACCAAAUUAUUUUUAAACUGUGUAACAAAAUUAUUUUGAAAUCAAAACAAGGGCUAAUCCUUUGAAAGGAAGGUAAGUCCUCAAGUCCCAAGGCGACUUGGCAGCUUCUCCCUCCACAAGGCUGUUGCAAACCUUAGCAUUUCAGGUCUGAAAGAUACCUCAGACAUUGAGUCUAAAAGAGGUUAGAGAUGUGGAGAGGUUAAGCCACCUGCUCAUGCUCACAUACAUGGUCUCUCUUAUUUGCUACCAUGUUCCCCAGCACCUAAUACAGUUUCUCUCACAGCAUGGGCUCUCAAUAAAUAUUUGAUGAAUGGUUGAAAAAAAUGAAUGAAUUGCAGCAAAGCAGAAAUGUAGAUCUGUUUUCCUGUUUCCUAGUUCUUGAUUUUUCUACAUUGCUUGUCUGGCAUGUAAAUUUGUAUCUAAAGCCAGUUAUACCAUAUAAAUCAUUAAAUUUGUGAGCCCGAAGGACUGUUUUGACUCUAUGUAGAAACUAUAUUCUCCAGCGAGCUUUCAGUCAUACUUUAAUAAGGACAAAGGAUAACCUUUUAGUUUAGGCAUCUCUGUUACUUUGCACGGUGCCACAUGGUAUAUACUCAAUACAUUUUUUAUACUUUAAUAAAUUUGGAGCUGUUUAACAAUACUUUAUUUCUGAAAUGCUUUAUAGUUAUAGGAUUUUGCAUGUAUGAUAACAACUAAUUACACUGAAUGAAAGACUCAAUGGAUGUCUUCUCCCGAGUCAGUUUAGACUACAUCUCUAAUAAUGAAUAUUGGUCUGAUAUUCAUCCUGUUAUGAUAAAACUGGUUUUUGGUGAUAUGAUGGGAUUUUUUGUAAAAACCAACAAUUGGUUUAUGACUGCCUUUGUACUAUUGUUUUGGAGAGAAAUUUGAAAAGAGCAUGUCCACAAAAUAGUGUGCGAAUUACAGAAUGGAAACCAAAACAUCAAAGCUAGAAAGAGAAAAGAAUGAUCAAAGGGAAGAUCCAGAGUGGCUGAGGGGUAGGCAGGAGAAACAGACAAACAAGUACCUGAGCUUGUCAAUGAGAGACACACUUUGGUGGGUGCUGUGGCAACGGUUCUCUACUUUAUUACAUUAGGAUAUUAGGUUCUUUUUUUUUUUUUUUUUUUGAGACAAGAGUUUUACUCUUGUCUCCCAGGCUGGAGUGCAAUGGAGCCAUCUCAGCUUACUGCACCCUCUGCCUCCCGGGUUCAAGUGAUUCUCCUGCCUCUGCCUCCAAGUAGCUGGGAUUACAGGCGCCCGCCACCUUGCCCAGCUAAUUUGUGUAUUUUUAGUAGAGAUGGGGUUUCACCAUGUUGGUCAGGCUGGUCUCGAACUCCUGACCUCAGGUGAUCCGCCCGCCUCAGCCUCCCAAAGUGCUGGGAUUACAGGCGUGAGCCACCAUGCCUGGCCUAUUUUACUACGUUCUUACAUUCUUUUUUUUGAGACAGAGCCUCACUCUGUCAUCCAGGCUGGAGUGCAGUGGCGUGAUCUUGGCUCACUGCAACCUCUGCCUCCCAGGUUCAAGUGAUUCUUGUGCCUCAGCCUCCCGCGUAACUGGGAUUAUAGAUGCGCACCACUAAGCCUGGCUAAUUUUUGUAUUUUUAGUAGAGAUUGGGUUUCACCAUGUUGUCCAGGCUGGUCUCAAACUCCUGGCCUCAAGUGAUCCGCUUGCCUUGGCCUCCCAAAGUGCUAGGAUUACAGGUGUGAGCCACAGUGCCUAGCCACAGUUCUCUAUUUUAAACAAAAUUAAAAUUCAAGGUCACUUCAGUCAUGUUGUAUCAGACGUUGUCGACAAAAGGUUACUUUGACAAUUGUCUCAUUCUCUUUACAUUUCAUCAGGGAGAGAAAGAGUUAGUAAAAAGUAAAUUGUUCUAGUACCCAACUUCUGGUUUAACCAGGAGAGGUAAAAUCUCAUUAUAGUAACUAGCACUUCAUAAAUAUUUGAAGUUCAUCCAAACUGAAUAUGGAGUAAUAGAAACAUAGUUUUAACCCCUAAUUCAUAUUACAUGAGCCUUUUGACAACAUUUAAUGCUUUUUAUGGUAAUAUGCUCUGUGCUACAAUUUAAUCACGUUGUCCAGGUUCGCACCCUCCUCAGCAUCAUGAAAAUACUAUGGUUAAGUAUAUAUUAUCACCAAUUCAUACAAGAAUAAUUAUAAAAGAGAUGGGAGUUUGUGUGUAUCUUUCUAAAGGCCUCAGAAUUUAUCUUAAAAAAUAAAUCGUCUUUCUCAAC